rnacentral:rRNA from 1 species
AACUAGCCUCCUCCGGGAGACCUGAAAAAAGCAAAGCAGGGAAAGCGGGGGAGGGGUUGACAGGGAUGAUUCGGAAGUGUAGGAUCAAACGGUUGACUCUUUCGGGGAGAAAAAAGCCCUGAAGAGAAAGACGCCCUGUGGAAACGCAGGGAGAGCGUCUCGGAUCAUUGACAACUAAAUAGGAGCAGCAACGUCCAAUUAAAGGGCCCUGAUCACGAAACACAGUAAUAAAAUGAAUCUGGAGAGUUUGAUCCUGGCUCAGAACGAACGCUGGCGGCGUGCCUAACACAUGCAAGUCCAACGUGAAAGGGGAGCAAUCCCCCGGUAGGGUGGCAAACGGGUGAGUAAUACAUGGGUGAUCUACCUUAGGGAUGGGGAUAUCCUUCCGAAAGGAGGGGCAAUACCGAAUAUUGUCCGGAGCCGUGAAG